rnacentral:rRNA from 1 species
CGCGGAAUGUUGAGGGAACUGGUCUCUAGUACGAGAGGACCGAGAUCAACGAACCUCUAGUGUGCCGGCUGUCCUACCAAGGGCACCGCCGGGUAGCUACGUUCGGUGCAGAUAAACGCUGAAAGCAUCUAAGCGUGAAACUGUUCCCAAGAUUAACAUUCAUUAUUAGGACCCUACGAGACUAGUAGGUUGAUAGGCUAUAUGUGUAAGGGCAGCAAUGUCUUCAGCAGAGUAGUACUAAUCGUCCAAUGCUUCGACCAU